rnacentral:lncRNA from 1 species
UUAAAAGAAUUGAACAAACUUGACAUUGUUAAUAAAAUUUAUCGAUGGGUACAGGAAUUUCGUGGUGAGCAUCUCUUGCAGUCAUUGCCUGUAUUCUUGAGACUGCCAAAAGACAUAAUUUACUAAGAUCAUGUAGGAGUUUCUGAAUCACCAAAAAACCAAGGACUGCAAUUGUUUCCCCAGCAUCAGCUAGUGGCAGCACCAGCGUCAGACAGUAGAAAAACAAUGAUUAAAAAGUGAAGACAUUAUUAGAUUGUGAUCACGGUCAUUCCUUAACAAUAACAAAAAUUAAUUUGAUAGCACUCUUGUCAAAUCUUCGCAUGCCCCUUCUACUUCUGCUCUGAGCAUUCUUGUCCUCUUGGAUGUGGUCAUUGGAUUUCUUCCCAUCACUUCACAUAAAACACUCCUGCCUCAUUGCCUAAUCCAGGGACUCCUGUCAACGCUUGAGGAAUGGAGUGCUCUGCAGCCUUUGUUACUGUUAACCACUGUCCAGUAUUCUUUGAAGCGAUCUCGGUGUUUUCCUUCUUUUGCUUUAAGUAGCACUCUAUUUCCAGGCUUCUUCCUGUGUUGGGCACCGACGUACUUGUUUUUCUGGCACUCUCUUUCCUGAGAAUGGGCCCUUCCUCUCCAAACCUCACCAACACAGUUGCCGUGAGCAUGGUGGCCGUGAUGUCACAGUGAUAGAGAAUGGCUGGGUUCCUGGCUAAAUCCCAUCCUCAAGCCUGAAACCUGGGCCCUAGUGAAAACAGCUGACCAUGUUUUUCUGCCCAAAUGAUUGCCUCUUUGGCCUGCCAUGUUCCUAUCCCGUAACUAUAAAAUGACUUCAGCCGGCAGAGCAACACAAGCAACAGAUACAAGUGGUUGGUCAGGGAUACAAGCUGCUGAGCCUUGGGAGUACAUGCAGCUGAGCAUCAGAGACUAUGGAUGGCUAACUUCAGACAGUGCAGCUUCAGGGAAAGAUUCUCAGGGUCGAGAUAAGAGGCCACAGUGAGGCCUGAUGGCCUAGACCAUCACCUGCAGGAAAGCCAGCCUAGUACAUCCUCCCUGGCCCAACUGUGCCCCUGGGACAUGCUAGGUAGAUUCAUAUUCUCCAUGUGUUGUCUUCACAUCUCUAUAGUAUUUAAACUGCUUACUUUCUAGAAAUUGCACUGAAAAUUAGGCUUACGAAGAGUUAACAUUUUAAUGAAUAUAUGUAAUGAAAACCACUAAAUAGAACAGAAAUGAUUCUGUAUACAAAGUGUAUAAGAAAUAUAGGAAGUCUUUCUGGUAAAGGAUAUUCAAAAGACAUAAAAAUGUGAUUUUGGUUAAAGGAAGUGUAAAUUUGCCUAAUUUAAAAGUUAUUUAAGGCUACUUUAAAUUUAAUAAAAAGGGCUGGGCACCGUGGCUCACACCUGUAAUUCUAGCACUUUGGGAGACCAAGAUGGGUGGAUCAUUUGAGGUCAGGAGUUCCAGACCAGCCUGGCCAGCAUGGCAAAACCUGCCUCUACUAAAAAUACAGAAAUUAGCUGGGCAUGGUGGCAGCUACCUGUAAUUCCAGCUACUUGGGUGGCUGAGGCAGAAGGAUAGCUUGCACCAGGAGGCAGAGGUUGCAGGAAGCUGAGGUCAUGCCACUGUACUCUAGCCUGGGCAAAAGAGUGAGACUCUGUCUCAAUAAAUAAAUUAAUUAAUUAAAGAAAAAAGAAUGACAGAUAAAACUAAAUAGACACAGAAAGUUGAGAAAAAUUAUAAAAAUUGUAAGAGGUUACAUAAAAUGUUUGCAGAAAUCUUAUCUUGCGGCCAGGCAUGAUGGCCCACACGUGUAAUCCCAGCACUUUGGGAGGCUGAGGCGAGUGGAACACGAGGUCAGGAGUUUGAAAUCAGCCUGGCCAAUAUAAUGAAACCCCAUCUCUAAUAAAAAUACAGAAAUUAGCUGGGUGUAAUGGCACAUGCCUGUAGUCCCAGCUACUUGGGAAGCUGAAGCAGAAUAGCUUGAACCCGGGAGGCAGAGGUUGGAGGGAGCAGAGACCAUGCCAUUGCAUUCUAGCCUGGGUGACACAGUGAGACUGUCUCAAAAAACAAAAAAAGAAAAAAAGAAAUCUUAUCUUGUAUGGUAAAUCUGAUUGAAGGAUGAAUCUGUCUAAAGGUUAUGAAAAUUAAGUUUUAUAUUAAUAACGCACUAAUGCAAAUGUAAAAUUUCUUUUUUUUCCUUUGGACAAGAUUUUAGGAUAGUAUUAAUAAGAAACAGUAAAACAUGUUAUUUGCCAUUUGAGUAAACUCCAAAAACAAAGCAGAGAGAGAAGAGAACGACAGAUUAUGAUUUUCUUUCAUGCUGUCUUUAUUCAGAUUUUUUGGAUUGUUUGGAAAACUGAGUUUCCUCUCUUUCCUAUUGUAAGGGAUUUUGCUUUAUUGGGUCCUUGAAUAAUU